UAUUUAUCAACAAGUAAUAAGCAAUCGUGCCUGGUAAGACAUGUUCUACUAACUCUUUAAUUUUGUAUCAUUCCCAUUCUGUGAUAUUGAUUUAACGGUUAAACCUUAUCUUAGCGUUGUGUACCAUUAUGUGUUAUUUAGUACCCAUUUGUGAAAUUUGUAAAUAAUACAGAUUUAUCUACGAGCAAUAAACAAUCAUAUCUAGUGAAACUUUUUUUUCUAAAUUGUUUUCUCCUAACUCUCUAUUUUUACAUAAUUCCCCUUCAGUGGUAUUAAUUUUACUAUUAAGCCUUAUCUUAU